UGCAGUUCUUGGGUGACGCACCCGGAACCAGAGAGGAGGAAGCCUGAUUCCGGGGUGUGUCAACCGAGAACUGCC
rfam:Myotis lucifugus cont2.49941, whole genome shotgun sequence.